AGAUUGUUUUUUUCGGCGUGCACGAGUUUUUAUUCACAGGUCCUCUUUUGAAGGCAAGACGCAUCAGAAUUAUGACUCACCAGCAGAAGAAAUACUAAGGUGUGUAGCUAACUAGCAUGUUCAGUGUAAACAUUUGACAAUCUGUCAGAUAAAUAAACUCUGUGCCUGUCAGACGUUCUCUUAAAUCGUUAAAAAUAGGACUAUAUAGUGUUGUACAGUGAGGGGUGAGCACUCGUGGUUGGUUGACCUUUGUGUGCAGGCUGGUUCACCUGUGGUGGUGAGUUUUGGUUAAGUCAGGGUGUGUAGAGGUGUGUGGGUGACCAGAACUUUUAACCCACCUGCGGCUCAGCGCUGUGACUCAUCCAGACUCACUGCUUUCUUCCGAUCUACUGUCACGUGAUGGACCUGAGCCAUAUUCACAGACCAGACUGUCAGCGUGCAGGACUCUUAUGAGCAGGACCGGUG
rnacentral:lncRNA from 1 species